CACGUAGGGUGCGAGCGUUUGUCCGGAAUUAUUGGGCGUAAAGAGCUCGUAGGCGGUGUGUCGCGUCGGCCGUGAAAACCUGCAGCUUAACUGUGGGCUUGCGGUCGAUACGGGCAUCACUGGAGUUCGGCAGGGGAGACUGGAAUUCCUGGUGUAGCGGUGAAAUGCGCAGAUAUCAGGAGGAACACCGGUGGCGAAGGCGGGUCUCUGGGCCGUAACUGACGCUGAGGAGCGAAAGCGUGGGGAGCGAACAGG
rnacentral:rRNA from 1 species